GACGAACGCUGGCGGCGUGCCUAAUACAUGCAAGUUGAGCGCUGAAGGUUGGUACUUGUACCAACUGGAUGAGCAGCGAACGGGUGAGUAACGCGUGGGGAAUCUGCCUUUGAGCGGGGGACAACAUUUGGAAACGAAUGCUAAUACCGCAUAAAAACUUUAAACACAAGUUUUAAGUUUGAAAGAUGCAAUUGCAUCACUCAAAGAUGAUCCCGCGUUGUAUUAGCUAGUUGGUGAGGUAGAGGCUCACCAAGGCGAUGAUACAUAGCCGACCUGAGAGGGUGGUCGGCCACAUUGAGACUGGGACCCGGCCCAAACGCCUACGGGAGGCAGCAGUAGUGAUUCUUCGGCAAUGGGCGAAAGUCUGACCGAGCAACGCCGCGUGAGUGAAGAAGGUUUUCGGAUCGUAAAACUCUGUUGGUAGAGAAGAGCGUUGGUGAGCGUGGAAAGCUCAGCAAGUGACGGUAACUACCCAGAAAGGGACGGCUAACUACGUG
rnacentral:rRNA from 1 species